rnacentral:rRNA from 1 species
AGCUCUUUCUUGAUUCGGUGGGUGGUGGUGCAUGGCCGUUCUUAGUUGGUGGAGCGAUUUGUCUGGUUAAUUCCGAUAACGAACGAGACUCUAGCCUGCUAAAUAGGUGACGGGUUUUAUCAAUUGAAACCGAAGGGAGUACGGAGGCGUCGGGAUCAGGUGGCGGCGAUUCGGGUCUCGGUGGGACUGGUUCCUUUAGUGAGGCACCCUCUCGGCUUGGAUUGUUUCGUUGUGCUUUGUAUUUGUUGGGUGUACGGCCUUCACGGGUUGGUUGCCUGAUGGGUGUGAGGUAUGGCAGGGCCGUCUUUGUCGGGAAUGUCUCGCGGGGGCUGGCUCUAUUGUUAUUCGGUCGUCGUCAUCCCCGGCGAUACCUUCUGCUCUCGCGUCCGUCACGCAGUCUUCUUAGAGGGACAAGCGGCGUCCAGCCGCGUGACAGUGAGCAAUAACAGGUCUGUGAUGCCCUUAGAUGUCCUGGGCCGCACGCGCGCUACACUGAAGGAAUCAGCGUGUUUCACUCUCCCUGUCCGAAAGGACCGGGUAACCGCUGAACCUCCUUCGUGGUUGGGAUUGGGGACUGCAAUGAUCCCCA